CUUUACUGUAGCCUGGUAUUGGGUUCGGGCUUUGACUGCGCAGGAUAGGUGGGAGACUAUGAGACAUCCCUUGUGGGGGAUGUGGAGUCAUCAGUGAGAUACCACUCUGUCAAGGCUAGAAUUCUAACUCAUUGCCGUGAUCCGGCAUGGGAACAGUUUCAGGUGGGCAGUUUGACUGGGGCGGUCGCCUCCUAAACGAUAACGGAGGCGCACAAAGGUUCCCUCAGGCUGGUUGGAAAUCAGCCGAAGAGUGUAAAGGCACAAGGGAGCUUGACUGUGAGACUGACAAGUCGAGCAGGGUGGAAACACGGUCUUAGUGAUCCGACGGCACUGAGUGGAAGGGCCGUCGCUCAACGGAUAAAAGUUA
rnacentral:rRNA from 1 species